rnacentral:rRNA from 1 species
CCUACGGGAGGCAGCAGGGAGGAAUAUUGGUCAAUGGCCGGAAGGCUGAACCAGCCAAGGCGCGGGAAGGAAGAAGGAUCUAUGGUUUGUAAACUUCUUUUAUAGGGGAAUAAAGGCAUCCACGUGUGGAUAUUUGCAUGUACCCUAUGAAUAAGCAUCGGCUAACUCCGUGCCAGCAGCCGCGGUAAUACGGAGGAUGCGAGCGUUAUCCGGAUUUAUUGGGUUUAAGGGGUGCGUAGGUUGUUUUUUAAGUCAGCGGUGAAAGUUUGUGGCUCAACCAUAAAAUUGCCGUUGAAACUGGCAGACUUGAGUGUGUUUGAGGUCGGCGGAAUGCGUGGUGUAGCGGUGAAAUGCAUAGAUAUCACGCAGAACUCCGAUUGCGAAGGCAGCUUACUAGGCCAUAACUGACACUGAGGCACGAAAGCGUGGGGAUCAAACAGGAUUAGAUACCCCGGUAGUC